rnacentral:rRNA from 1 species
UACGUAGGGUGCGAGCGUUGUCCGGAAUUAUUGGGCGUAAAGAGCUCGUAGGCGGUCUGUCGCGUCUGCUGUGAAAUCCCGAGGCUCAACCUCGGGCCUGCAGUGGGUACGGGCAGACUAGAGUGCGGUAGGGGAGAUUGGAAUUCCUGGUGUAGCGGUGGAAUGCGCAGAUAUCAGGAGGAACACCGAUGGCGAAGGCAGAUCUCUGGGCCGUAACUGACGCCGAGGAGCGAAAGCGUGGGGAGCGAACAGG